rnacentral:rRNA from 1 species
CAGCCGUAAACUAUGCGCGUUAGGUGUAUCGGUGACCACGAGUUACCGAGGUGCCGAAGGGAAACCGUGAAACGUGCCGCCUGGGAAGUACGGUCGCAAGGCUGAAACUUAAAGGAAUUGGCGGGGGAGCACCACAACAGGUGGAGCCUGCGGGUUAAUUGGACUCAACGCCGGGAAGCUCACCGGAUAGGACAGCAGAAUGAUUGCCGGGCUGAAGACCCUGCAUGACUAGCUGAGAGGAGGUGCAUGGCGUCAGUGACU